UGACAUAAAAGGAAAGGCAGAGAGGCAGCCCAAGCUCCUUUUCCUUUCCGUCCUUCCGUGCUCAUCAGGAAGCCCAAGGCAGGGAGUGAGGCCCCUUGUAGACUCCUUACUGGGAAGACCACUAACAGCACCAGGAGGAAAUGCUGCAGCUUGCCUCAAAUCCUGGUCCAGCCGCGUGUCUGCUGGUGACUACAACAACCCUCUUAACGGAUCUGAGCCUUCGUUCCCUCAUCUGUGAGAACCAGGCUUGCAAAGCCUCUGCUACAUACUAAAGCCAGGGAGAGGCCACUGAUGGGCAAAAAGAGGAGGACAGAGACCUGGAAAACACUAACAAGGGCCCAGUAUAUGCAUAGGAAGCAGACGGCUGAUGUUCAGGUGGAGUUCAGGUUCAGUAUGCUCCAGCAGCACCCAUCGGAGAACCCAUUGGUUUGGAACCAACUGAAAGAGAUGCAGGUGACAGGAAGGUGAAAAUACAUAUCUCUGUAUCACUAAGGAAGCUGCUUGUCGUAUGUGCCUUGAGGAUGUCCAGGUGGUCUUGAUAAUGUACAUCUCCCCCACUAAUGAAACUUACCUGCUAUGCUCCUGGUUAUGCCUUGAGACCACAGCCUACCUGAGCACACUUUGCACAUCACAGAGCCAAGUAGCCAGAGUCCAUCUGCUUAGCAGGCAGGAGGAGGCUGAAGGGCAGGCAGAAGAGGCUCUGCUCACACCCAGGGCUUUCUCCUUGAGCUCAGGGGUGACAAGGUGGCUAGAGAGGCUGGAGUGUGACCCAGUGAAGGUCCU
rnacentral:lncRNA from 1 species